rnacentral:rRNA from 1 species
GACGAACGCUGGCGGCGUGCUUAACACAUGCAAGUCGAACGGAAAGGCCCUGCCUUUCUCUGCUGCUCGAGUGGCGAACGGGUGAGUAACACGUGAGCAACCUGCCCCUGACUCUGGGAUAAGUGCAGGAAACUGGGGCUAAUACCGGAUAGGAGCUCCUGCGGCAUGUUGGGGGGUGGAAAGUAACGGCGGUGGGGGAUGGGCUCGCGGCCUAUCAGCUUGUUGGUGGGGUAGUGGCUUACCAAGGCUUCGACGGGUAGCCGGCCUGAGAGGGUGACCGGCCACACUGGGACUGAGAUACGGCCCAGACUCCUACGGGAGGCAGCAGUGGGGAAUAUUGCACAAUGGGCGGAAGCCUGAUGCAGCAACGCCGCGUGCGGGACGACGGCCUUCGGGUUGUAAACCUCUUUUGGCUGGGACGAAGCGAGAGUGACGGUACCUGCUAAAGAAGCACCGGCUAACUACGUG